GAACUCCCCACCCUCCCUCUCUGUCAGCGUUACCCUAUAAAAGCAGAGCCAUCUCUCCGCUCUGCACUAGAACACCUGAUUACUACAACCUUCAAGCGCGCCAUCGCAUCGAGGAAGAACACACAGACACAGCAAUGGAUUGUGCUUCAACUGUCGUCACUUCACAUACCAACAGCAAAAACGACUGCAAUAAAAAAAAAUGUGUUGCCCCAUGUCCUACUGAAUCAGGCAAAAACAUAUCAGGUCAAAACAUAUCAGGCCAAAACAUAUCAGGCCAAAACAUAUCAGGCAGUGUGGGCGGAAGUAUUUCCAUUGGCAACCAGGACAAUACCAUCACUCAUACCGCUUAACAAACAACUCCCAGAAAAACUGUCGCACCCAGCAUCACCAUAGCCAACAUAACAGGUGGCAAAGUG